GUGGGGAAUAUUGGACAAUGGGGGGAACCCUGAUCCAGCCAUGCCGCGUGUGUGAAGAAGGCCUUUUGGUUGUAAAGCACUUUAAGCGAGGAGGAGGCUACCGAGAUUAAUACUCUUGGAUAGUGGACGUUACUCGCAGAAUAAGCACCGGCUAACUCUGUGCCAGCAGCCGCGGUAAUACAGAGGGUGCAAGCGUUAAUCGGAUUUACUGGGCGUAAAGCGCGCGUAGGUGGCCAAUUAAGUCAAAUGUGAAAUCCCCGAGCUUAACUUGGGAAUUGCAUUCGAUACUGGUUGGCUAGAGUAUGGGAGAGGAUGGUAGAAUUCCAGGUGUAGCGGUGAAAUGCGUAGAGAUCUGGAGGAAUACCGAUGGCGAAGGCAGCCAUCUGGCCUAAUACUGACACUGAGGUGCGAAAGCAUGGGGAGCAAACAGGAUUAGAUACCCGAGUAGUCC
rnacentral:rRNA from 1 species